GACGAACGCUGGCGGCGGGCCUAACACAUGCAAGUCAUACGAGCAGUCCUUCGGACGGGCGAGUGGCGCACGGGUGAGUAACACGUAGAGAAUCUGCCCUUAAGUGGGGAAUAACUGUUGGAAACGACAGCUAAUACCGCAUAUUGACUAAGUACUGCAUGGUACAUAGUUGAAAGCCUUUGGGCGCUUAAGGAUGACUCUGCGGAAGAUUAGCUAGUUGGUGAGGUAACGGCUCACCAAGGCGACGAUCUAUAGCUGGUCUGAGAGGAUGAUCAGCCACACUGGCACUGACACACGGGCCAGACUCCUACGGGAGGCAGCAGUGAGGAAUAUUGGACAAUGGGCGCAAGCCUGAUCCAGCCACGCCGCGUGCAGGACGAAGCUCCUUUGGGGUGUAAACUGCUUUUAUGUGGGAAUAAAAAUCGGUUGCCGAUCUUGAAGGUACCAUAAGAAUAAGCACCGG
rnacentral:rRNA from 1 species